GAUGAACGCUAGCGGCAGGCUUAACACAUGCAAGUCGAGGGGUAGGAAUUAGCUUGCUAAUUUGAGACCGGCGCACGGGUGCGUAACGCGUAUGCCAACCUACCUUUCACAAAGGGAUAGCCCAGAGAAAUUUGGAUUAAUACCUUAUAGUAUAUCGAUGUGGCAUCACAAUGAUAUUAAAGUUCCAACGGUGAAAGAUG
rnacentral:rRNA from 1 species